CUUGUUCUGGAACCAGACCCGGAUCACCCGGGGGCUCAGGCCGGUCAUCUCCACCAGCUGCUCCUUCAUCAGCGCGUCCGGCCUCGGGUUGGCGUUGUAGCAGGUCCGCAACGUGUGCAGCUGCUUCUCGUUCAGCACCGUCCGCACCCGCGUCGUCUUCUCCGACUGCUUGUGGACGUGGUUCCGAUGCGGGGCCUGUCGCACCGUGACCGGGUCUUCAGAGGAGAGAGAGGAGGGGACGGAGGAGAAAAACACACACACACCGUUUGGUGCAGCGCUCUGUUGUUGGAGUGCAUGUGCACCGGGCUGCACGGACUCCCAGCGGAGCUUCUCUCCAGGAGGAGGCUGUGGUCCGCCCGGCACAGCAGCUCCUCUUCCCGCAAAGAGAACUCAUCUCCCGGCAGCAGCUGCCGGCUGCACACCGAGCAGCGGAAACACUCGAUGUGGUAGACGUUUUCCCGGGCCCUCAUCACCAAGUCGCUGCUGCUGAAUCCCAGGUUUUCCCGUCCCGGACGAAACAAGUGCAGGUCUCAUCCAGGUAUUGACUGCACUCUGCACACUUGAGACAGGCUGCAUGCCACUCCAGGUCCGGAGACACUCUCAGUAUGUACUGGUCAUGGAUCUGACUUCCACAUCCCACACACAUCGCGAAUCCUGGCUUCUCUGCAACCAAAAAAACACACACACUGCUGUGAUGUUCCGUAACUAAAAUUGGAUUCUCUCCAAAAUUCGACGUUCGAUUCGGUGUUUUGAUUCCCUCCAGAUAUCGAAUCCUCUACCGAAUAUCUCACGUACAGUCCAUAAAUAAAAGCCGCUGCGGCGCAGACACGAUCUGUCUCCCUGGAAGUGUCCGCUGGAGCGGAUGUUUACUUACUUUUGGAAUGAUCCCCCAUAUCACCCAAGAAAGAAGAGUUGAAAAUAACAUCCACCAUACAGGAAGGAUGACGGGCGCUGUGGUCGAGGCAGAAAAGAUGUCAGCUGCUGGACUGGACCCUCGCCUGCCUCCCUGAGAACUUCUGUCUGUCCCGACUGGAGGGGGGCAAGGAAGCUGCACCGUCCCACGCACCCUCGGCUCCUCCGACGUCAUGACGUCAGCAGACGGAACUCUCCAAUCACCUUGUCCGCGUCAGCCUGAGCCUGUAAAGUCGUCCUCGUUCAUCAACCUCUCCAGAAGAAUCGCUGUUCUGCCGUUUAUCUUUUCGAGAACAAGGCCAUCUACUGGUGGAAAAUCAGCACUGCAGUUAUUGAUGAUAGAAGACCUUCGAGAGUGCUGGACAUGUUGAAUGAGGUAUUUAUCCAUCCACCGCAAAGGGGGGUGUGGAGUGGAGUAAAGUGGCCACGACCUGGAACAACAUGGGACUCGUUGGCCCUGGAAUCCUGGAAACUCCCCACCAGGGGUCAGUAGAGCUGAGGAAGCCCCUUGGAUGAAGAGGAGAAACGUCUUCAACUGGAGAGCUGUAUCAGCUGGACCCAGGAGCCGGAACUUCUCCUCCAGAGAUGGCUCGGUGUCGCCGCCCUGCAGAUGGAUCAGAGGCUUAGUCUGCAACAGCACACAACCGCUGCCUUGGCCACGCCUCUCCUCCUGGUU